AGCGAACGCUGGCGGCAGGCCUAACACAUGCAAGUCGAACGAGCCCUUCGGGGCUAGUGGCGGACGGGUGAGUAACACGUGGGAACGUACCCUUAGGUUCGGAACAACACAGGGAAACUUGUGCUAAUGCCGAAUGUGCCCUUCGGGGGCAAGAUUUAUCGCCUUUGGAGCGGCCCGCGUCUGAUUAGCUAGUUGGUGAGGUAAAGGCUCACCAAGGCUACGAUCAGUAGCUGGUCUGAGAGGAUGAUCAGCCACACUGGGACUGAGACACGGCCCAGACUCCUACGGGGGGCAGCAGUGGGGAAUCUUGCGCAAUGGGCGAAAGCCUGACGCAGCCAUGCCGCGUGAAUGAUGAAGGUCUUAGGAUUGUAAAAUUCUUUCCCCGGGGAAGAUAAUGACGGUACCCGGAGAAGAAGCCCCGGCUAACUUCGUGCCAGCCGCCGCCGUAACAC
rnacentral:rRNA from 1 species